GUUCAGUUAGCAGAUAGUUAUUCGAACACAUAGGAGACGUUCUAUGUCAUUUGAUUAUGAUAAUCUUAGAAGAUUAACGCAAUGACACCUUUACAACUCUGGGGCACAUUUCUAUUCUGGUUCAGACCUUGACACAGGCUAUAACCCAACAUAUUACAUAAGGAAACCAGCUCAUUCCUGCACUGGGAUUUAUAGUGCCCUCUCUCAUGGCAUCAAAAGCAAGUGCUUAUU
rnacentral:lncRNA from 1 species